rnacentral:rRNA from 1 species
UAGGGAAUAUUGGGCAAUGGAGGGAACUCUGACCCAGCCAUGCCGCGUGCAGGAUGAAGGCGUUAUGCGUUGUAAACUGCUUUUACAUAGGAAGAAAUAGUCCUUGCGAGGAAAGUUGACGGUACUAUAUGAAUAAGCACCGGCUAACUCCGUGCCAGCAGCCGCGGUAAUACGGAGGGUGCAAGCGUUGUCCGGAUUUAUUGGGUUUAAAGGGUGCGUAGGCGGUUUAUUAAGUCAGUGGUGAAAGACGGUCGCUCAACGAUUGCAGUGCCAUUGAUACUGGUAGACUUGAGUAUGAUUGAGGUAGCUGGAAUGGAUAGUGUAGCGGUGAAAUGCAUAGAUAUUAUCCAGAACACCAAUUGCGUAGGCAAGUUACUAAGUCAUAACUGACGCUGAGGCACGAAAGUGUGGGUAUCAAACAGGAUUAGAUACCCCGGUAGUCCCUGAGCGGGCUGGCAAGGCGCAU